rnacentral:rRNA from 1 species
UACAGAGACUGCAAGCGUUAUUCGGAUUCACUGGGCGUAAAGGGUGCGCAGGCGGCCAAGUGUGUGAGGCGUGAAAGCCCGGGGCUUAACCCCGGAAUUGCACCUCAAACUACAUGGCUAGAGCAUUGGAGAGGGUAGCGGAAUUCACGGUGUAGCAGUGAAAUGCGUAGAGAUGUGGAGGAACACCGAUGGCGAAGGCAGCCUCCUGGGCCAGCACUGACGCUCAUGCACGAAAGCGUGGGGAGCAAACAGG